rnacentral:tRNA from 1 species
AUUUGAAUAGUUUAAGAAAAAUUUUAAUUUGUGAUAUUAAGGAUGGUUAUUCUUCAAGUA